CGCGGGUAAGACCGCGUGGAGGACCGAACCCACCUGGGUUGAAAACCGGGGGGAUGACCUGGGGCUAGGGGUGAAAGGCCAAUCAAAUUCCGUGAUAGCUGGUUCUCUCCGAAAUGCAUUUAGGUGCAGCGUCGGUUGAUUGCAUCGCGGGGGUAGAGCUACUGGAUGCUUGCGGGCCCGUGUCGGGUACCAAUAGCAGCCAAACUCCGAAUACCGUGGAUGUGUAUUCCGGCAGUGAGUCGGCGGGGGAUAAGCUCCGUCGUCGAGAGGGAGACAGCCCAGAUCGUCGUCUAAGGUCCCGAAGCGUGUGCUAAGUGGGAAAGGAUGUGGAGUCGCAUAGACAGCCAGGAGGUUGGCUCAGAAGCAGCCAUCCUUGAAAGAGUGCGUAACAGCUCACUGGUCUAGUGGUUCCGCGCCGACAAUGUAGCGGGGCUCAAGCACACCACCGAAGACGCGGCAGCGGCCUUUGUGGCCGUUGGGUAGGAGAGCGUCCCGCGUGGGGCGAAGCGGCGGGGGAACCGUGCCGUGGACCGCGCGGGAGUGAGAAUGCAGACAUGAGUAGCGAGAGACGGGUGAGGAUCCCGUCCGCUGGAUGACCAAGGGUUCCGGGGCCACGUUCGUCGUCCCCGGGUGAGUCGGGUCCUAAGGCGAGGCCGACAGGCGUAGUCGAAUGGAUGAACGGGUGGAUAUUCCCGUACCGGCGGCGUACCGUAAGAGCCGAACGGAUGAGUACUAACCUCCGGUCGCGUGGCGUCGUUCCCUUCGGGGUUCGGGGUCCGCGGUCGUUGGGAGCGUAGUCCUGGUAGGCUAGCGCACAGGGGUGACACGGAAUGGGAGCCGGCCGCGGAGGUGGUUUUCCGUGGUCAAGCACGCAGCCCGUCCCAUAGGCAAAUCCGUGGGACGCAUAGGGUGAGGUGUGAUGAUGGGCGUCCUUUGGACGCGAUAUCCGGUGGUCCAGGCCGUCGAGAAAAGCCUCGGCGCGAGGGGCGUCGCCGCCCGUACCCCAAACCGACACUGGUGGUCAGGUAGAGAAUACCAAGGCGAUCGAGCGAAUCCUGGUCAAGGAACUCGGCAAAUCACUCCCGUGCCUUCGGUAUAAGGGAGACCCCCUGGCGUGAAGAGGCUUGCCCUCGGAGCGUUGGGGGGUGGCACAGACCAGGGGGUAGCGACUGUUUACCAAAAACACAGGUGCAUGCGAAGGCGCAAGCCGCUGUAUAUGCACUGACGCCUGCCCGGUGCCGGAAGGUUAAGAGGAUCCGUCAGCCCCUUUUGGGGUGAAGCGGUGAAUUCAAGCCCCGGUAAACGGCGGUGGUAACUAUAACCAUCCUAAGGUAGCGAAAUUCCUUGUCGGGUAAGUUCCGACCUGCACGAAUGGCGUAACGACUUCCCCACUGUCUCGACCAGGAGCUCGGCGAAAUUGCAGUACGAGUAAAGAUGCUCGUUAAGCGCAGAAGGACGAAAAGACCCCGGGACCUUUACUAUACCUUGGUAUUGGCGUUAGGCGCGGAUUGUGUAGCAUAGGCGGGAGGCUUCGAAGCAUGGGCGCCAGCCCGUGUGGAGCCGCAAGGUGAAAUACCGCUCUGUUCUCGUUUGACGUCUCACCUCGAACAGUCAUCCUGUUCAGGGACAGUGCCUGGCGGGUAGUUUAACUGGGGCGGUUGCCUCCCAAAGAGUAACGGAGGCGCUCAAAGGUCCGCUCAGCCCGGUUGGCAAUCGGGUGUCGAGUGUAAUCGCACAAGCGGGCUUGACUGCGAGGACGACGGUCCGAGCAGGGACGAAAGUCGGAGAUAGUGAUCCGGUGCCGGCGCACGGGCGCGGCAUCGCUCAACGGAUAAAAGGUACCCCGGGGAUAACAGGCUGAUCAUUCCCAAGAGUCCAUAUCGACGGGAUGGUUUGGCACCUCGAUGUCGGCUCGUCGCAUCCUGGGGCUGGAGCAGGUCCCAAGGGUUCGGCUGUUCGCCGAUUAAAGCGGCACGCGAGCUGGGUUCAGAACGUCGUG
rnacentral:rRNA from 1 species